UGGGGAAUUGUUCGCAAUGGGCGCAAGCCUGACGACGCAACGCCGCGUGGAGGAUGAAGGUCUUCGGAUUGUAAACUCCUGUUGACCGGGAAGAAUGGACUUCGCUCUAACAGGGCGGAGUAAUGACGGUACCGGUUGAGGAAGCCACGGCUAACUCUGUGCCAGCAGCCGCGGUAAUACAGAGGUGGCAAGCGUUGUUCGGAAUUACUGGGCGUAAAGGGCGCGUAGGCGGCCGCCUCAGUCAGACGUGAAAUCCCCAGGCUUAACUUGGGAACUGCGUCUGAUACUGGGUGGCUCGAGUUCGGGAGAGGAAUGUGGAAUUCCAGGUGUAGCGGUGAAAUGCGUAGAUAUCUGGAGGAACACCGGUGGCGAAGGCGGCAUUCUGGACCGAAACUGACGCUGAGGCGCGAAAGCCAGGGGAGCAAACGGG
rnacentral:rRNA from 1 species